AGACCGGUCUUCCCGUGCCUGCAGGUUGGCUGCAAAUGUUUCUGUACACGGACAACUGGUCCGGGACAAGAUCCCGGGGAAAUAAAUUCAUCUCGAGAGGGGCCGGGCGAGCCGGCGCGGGGAAACGCGAGCUUUUGUUUUUUAUGACAGCCGGGCUGCGCAGCUCUAAUCAGUGCGGGGAUUUAUCUCCCGGCCUGUCAGCAUGUGUGCUUAAACUUUGCGGACUUCCUAGCCCUCUAAGUCCCAUCACGAGGGCAGCCACCGGACAAGAGCCCCCAAACAACCAGUUUGCCUGAAAGGUAUGAUUCAAGCCAUACAAGUAUUAAGGUUUCAUCUAUUGGAAUUAGAGAAGGUACACGAAUUAUGUGACAAUUUCUGCCACCGGUAUAUUAGCUGUUUGAAAGGGAAAAUGCCUAUCGAUUUGGUGAUAGACGAUAGAGAAGGAGGAUCAAAAUCAGACAGUGAAGAUAUAACAAGAUCAGCAAAUCUAACCGACCAGAACAAGGAGCACUGAUACUAAGUUACG
rnacentral:sRNA from 1 species